rnacentral:rRNA from 1 species
UCUUUCGCAUGAAGGAAAGUUGAAAGAUGGCUUCUUGCUAUCACUUACAGAUGGGCCCGCGGCGCAUUAGCUAGUUGGUGAGGUAACGGCUCACCAAGGCGACGAUGCGUAGCCGACCUGAGAGGGUGAUCGGCCACACUGGGACUGAGACACGGCCCAGACUCCUACGGGAGGCAGCAGUAGGGAAUCUUCCGCAAUGGACGAAAGUCUGACGGAGCAACGCCGCGUGAACGAUGAAGGUCUUCGGAUCGUAAAGUUCUGUUGUUAGGGAAGAACAAGUACCGUUCAAACAGGGCGGUACCUUGACGGUACCUAACGAGGAAGCCCCGGCUAACUACGUGCCAGCAGCCGCGGUAAUACGUAGGGGGCAAGCGUUGUCCGGAAUUAUUGGGCGUAAAGCGCGCGCAGGCGGUUCCUUAGGUCUGAUGUGAAAGCCCACGGCUCAACCGUGGAGGGUCAUUGGAAACUGGGGAACUUGAGGACAGAAGAGGAGAGUGGAAUUCCACGUGUAGCGGUGAAAUGCGUAGAUAUGUGGAGGAACACCAGUGGCGAAGGCGACUCUCUGGUCUGUUUCUGACGCUGAGGUGCGAAAGCGUGGGUAGCAAACAGGAUUAGAUACCCUGGUAGUCCACGCCGUAAACGAUGAGUGCUAGGUGUUAGGGGGCUUCCACCCCUUAGUGCUGAAGUUAACGCAUUAAGCACUCCGCCUGGGGAGUACGGCCGCAAGGCUGAAACUCAAAGGAAUUGACGGGGGCCCGCACAAGCGGUGGAGCAUGUGGUUUAAUUCGAUGCAACGCGAA